GUGCUGCUGCUGGUGCUUCUACCGUUGCUGAUGUUGGUUCAACUUACUUCACCGUAAUUGCGUGUCUGAGAAUUGUGGGUUGAAAAUUGAUGGACGUCUCAAAUGAAAAAAGAAGAAAAAGAGAAAGAAAGGGAGAGCGAGAAA
rnacentral:lncRNA from 1 species